rnacentral:rRNA from 1 species
ACUCCUACGGGAGGCAGCAGUGGGGAAUAUUGCACAAUGGGGGAAACCCUGAUGCAGCCAUGCCGCGUGUGUGAAGAAGGCCUUCGGGUUGUAAAGCACUUUCAGUAGGGAGGAAGGUAGUGUAGUUAACACCUGCAUUAUUUGACGUUACCUACAGAAGAAGCACCGGCUAACUCCGUGCCAGCAGCCGCGGUAAUACGGAGGGUGCGAGCGUUAAUCGGAAUUACUGGGCGUAAAGCGCAUGCAGGCGGCCUGUUAAGUCAGAUGUGAAAGCCCGGGGCUUAACCUCGGAAUUGCAUUUGAAACUGGCAGGCUAGAGUCUUGUAGAGGGGUUAGAAUUUCAGGUGUAGCGGUGAAAUGCGUAGAGAUCUGAAGGAAUACCGAGUGGCGAAGGCGGCCCCUGGACAAAGACUGACGCUCAGAUGCGAAAGCGUGGGAGCAAACAGGAUUAGAUACCCCUGGUAGACUGU